rnacentral:lncRNA from 1 species
AAGUGAAGGGUGUUUGUCUCCCUGGAAACCACUUGCUAAUCUGCAGGACGAUGUCUUUUUGCAGGCAAGGGAGGUGGAGGCAGCCAUCGAGGGGAUGCUCCUCCUGCUGGAAGAGUUUUGCAGCCUGAUGGACACGAUCAGGAGCGACACUUCACAGAUCUUGGAGGAGAACAUUCCGCUCCUUAAGGCCAGAGUGACAGAAAUGCGAGACAUCUAUGCCAAAGUGGACCGGCUCGAGGCCUUCGUCAGGAUGGUUGGGCACCACGCUACCUUCCUGGAAGCCCACGUGCGGCAGGCCGAACACAACUGUGGUGCCUUCCCACAGACCCUGCGCAGGUGGCUGGGUUCAGUGUGGCCCUCGUCCUUCAGAAAGAAACCAUCUGCAGCAGUGCCUGCGGCGGUUGAGCUGCCCACACUGUUCCGGAUGGAGGACUACUUCCCUGCAGACACCCCAGAGGUGCAGCGUCGUGGCCCCGACUGCCUCAGCCCCUGUGAGCUUUGCCAUCCUGCUGGGAUGUGGGACUGAAGCCCCGUACACAGAGUUGCUUCCCCUUUGUCAGUGGUUUGGUUUUUUUGCAUUUCCUCCCCAUGGAGUCCAGAGUACCUAUGGGGACCCCCAUGUGCCCGUGCUUGGUGAGCCUGGUAGCGCCUGCCCCAUCUGUCAGCCUGCUGUGCUGGGGCCAAGGUGCUUGGGUGGCUGGGCCGGAUGA